UACGUAGGCAGCAAGCGUUGUUCGGAGUUACUGGGCGUAAAGGGUGCGUAGGCGGUCCUAUAAGUAUGGUGUGAAAUCUCCCGGCUUAACUGGGAGGGUGCGCUAUAGACUGUGGGACUAGAGUGUGGGAGAGGAAAGUGGAAUUCCUGGUGUAGCGGUGAAAUGCGUAGAUAUCAGGAGGAACACCGGUGGUGUAAACGGCUUUCUGGACCAUAACUGACGCUGAGGCACGAAAAGCGUGGGUAGCAAAACAGG
rnacentral:rRNA from 1 species